AUUGAACGCUGGCGGAAUGCUUUACACAUGCAAGUCGAACGGCAGCACGGGGGCAACCCUGGUGGCGAGUGGCGAACGGGUGAGUAAUACAUCGGAACGUGCCCAGUCGUGGGGGAUAACGUAGCGAAAGUUACGCUAAUACCGCAUACGAUCUACGGAUGAAAGCGGGGGACCGUAAGGCCUCGCGCGAUUGGAACGGCCCAUGUCAGAUUAGGUAGUUGGUGAGGUAAAGGCUCACCAAGCCGAGGAUCUGUAGCUGGUCUGAGAGGACGAACGGCCACACUGGGACUGAGACACGGCCCAGACUCCUACGGGAGGCAGCAGUGGGGAAUUUUGGACAAUGGGCGCAAGCCUGAUCCAGCCAUUCCGCGUGCAGGACGAAGGCCUUCGGGUUGUAAACUGCUUUUGUACGGAACGAAAAGACUCUGGUUAAUACCUGGGGCUCAUGACGGUACCGUAAGAAUAAGCACCGGCUAACUACGUGCCAGCCGCCGCCGUAA
rnacentral:rRNA from 1 species